rnacentral:rRNA from 1 species
GAUCAUGGCUCAGGAUGAACGCUGGCGGCGUGCUUAACACAUGCAAGUCGAACGGAGUUUACUUAACAGAUUCCUUCGGGAUGACGUUUUUUAGACUUAGUGGCGGACGGGUGAGUAACGCGUGGGUAACCUGCCUUACACAGGGGGAUAGCAGUUGGAAACGACUGGUAAUACCGCAUACCUUACAUUAUUCGCAUGUUUGAUGUAAGAAAGAUUUUAUCGGUGUAAGAUGGACCCGCGUCUGAUUAG